GUCAGAAAAAGAAACUCCAGCCGACUGUAUUUAAGACCACCGCACACAACCAGUCUUGGCCAUGAUUCAAUUCUGUGAAUCAUAGCCACCAUUCAUGCUCUGUUUCCUUCACACUUCACAUGCCUGCCCUCCUGCCUCCAUCAUUCCGGAUCUCACUGGAUCACCCAGGCUGGGGUCACUGCUCUUGUUUACGCCAUCAGGAUAGGACUCAGAUUCUCGCUCCACAACCCACGACUCACCCACGACUCUCACUCUGUCUCAAGCUUCAUGUUCAUAGCUCCCAAAGUUAAUUCAUUUGUUGUAAAUAAAGCCUUGUUAGAAAACCUA